GACCGCUGCUUAGGCAGCCAAGGCCACACGGACAGCCGGGUCGAAUGCCGA
rnacentral:sRNA from 1 species